CGGAUUGUAGUCUGCAACUCGACUACAUGAAGCUGGAAUCGCUAGUAAUCGCAGAUCAGAAUGCUGCGGUGAAUACGUUCCCGGGUCUUGUACACACCGCCCGUCACACCAUGGGAGUCGGAUAUGCCCGAAGCCAGUGACCCAACCGUAAGGAGGGAGCUGUCGAAGGUGGAGCCGAUAACUGGGGUGAAGUCGUAACAAGGUAUC
rnacentral:rRNA from 1 species